UGGACUCGGUUUUAAUAAAAAAAUGAUGGUUUUGACCCGAAACGGCAAGAAAACUCAUUUUUUACCCUGGUCGACAUGGUUUGACCCGUAAUGACCUGGUGGACUCGGUUUUUAUGGAAAGAUGCGGUUAACCCGAGAAAA